GGGUUGUGAGGUUAAGCGACUAAGCGUACACGGUGGAUGCCUAGGCAGUCAGAGGCGAUGAAGGGCGUGCUAAUCUGCGAAAAGCGUCGGUAAGCUGAUAUGAAGCGUUAUAACCGACGAUACCCGAAUGGGGAAACCCAGUGCAAUACGUUGCACUAUCGUUAGAUGAAUACAUAGUCUAACGAGGCGAACCGGGGGAACUGAAACAUCUAAGUACCCCGAGGAAAAGAAAUCAACCGAGAUUCCCCCAGUAGCGGCGAGCGAACGGGGAGGAGCCCAGAGUCUGAAUCAGUUUGUGUGUUAGUGGAAGCGUCUGGAAAGUCGCACGGUACAGGGUGAUAGUCCCGUACACCAAAAUGCACAGGCUGUGAACUCGAUGAGUAGGGCGGGACACGUGACAUCCUGUCUGAAUAUGGGGGGACCAUCCUCCAAGGCUAAAUACUCCUGACUGACCGAUAGUGAACCAGUACCGUGAGGGAAAGGCGAAAAGAACCCCGGCGAGGGGAGUGAAAUAGAACCUGAAACCGUGUACGUACAAGCAGUGGGAGCACCUUCGUGGUGUGACUGCGUACCUUUUGUAUAAUGGGUCAGCGACUUAUAUUUUGUAGCAAGGUUAACCGAAUAGGGGAGCCGUAGGGAAACCGAGUCUUAACUGGGCGUCUAGUUGCAAGGUAUAGACCCGAAACCCGGUGAUCUAGCCAUGGGCAGGUUGAAGGUUGGGUAACACUAACUGGAGGACCGAACCGACUAAUGUUGAAAAAUUAGCGGAUGACUUGUGGCUGGGGGUGAAAGGCCAAUCAAACCGGGAGAUAGCUGGUUCUCCCCGAAAGCUAUUUAGGUAGCGCCUCGUGAACUCAUCUUCGGGGGUAGAGCACUGUUUCGGCUAGGGGGCCAUCCCGGCUUACCAAACCGAUGCAAACUCCGAAUACCGAAGAAUGUUAUCACGGGAGACACACGGCGGGUGCUAACGUCCGUCGUGAAGAGGGAAACAACCCAGACCGCCAGCUAAGGUCCCAAAGUCAUGGUUAAGUGGGAAACGAUGUGGGAAGGCACAGACAGCCAGGAUGUUGGCUUAGAAGCAGCCAUCAUUUAAAGAAAGCGUAAUAGCUCACUGGUCGAGUCGGCCUGCGCGGAAGAUAUAACGGGGCUAAACCAUGCACCGAAGCUGCGGCAGCGACGUUUAGGCGUUGUUGGGUAGGGGAGCGUUCUGUAAGCCGUUGAAGGUGACCUGUGAGGGUUGCUGGAGGUAUCAGAAGUGCGAAUGCUGACAUAAGUAACGAUAAUGCGGGUGAAAAACCCGCACGCCGGAAGACCAAGGGUUCCUGUCCAACGUUAAUCGGGGCAGGGUGAGUCGACCCCUAAGGCGAGGCUGAAAAGCGUAGUCGAUGGGAAACAGGUUAAUAUUCCUGUACUUGGUGUUACUGCGAAGGGGGGACGGAGAAGGCUAGGCUGGCCGGGCGACGGUUGUCCCGGUUUAAGCGUGUAGGGGGAGUGACCAGGUAAAUCCGGUUGCUUAUCAACCCUGAGGCGUGAUGACGAUGCACCACGGUGCAGAAGCAGUUGAUGCCAUGCUUCCAGGAAAAGCCUCUAAGCAUCAGGUAACAUUAAAUCGUACCCCAAACCGACACAGGUGGUCAGGUAGAGAAUACUCAGGCGCUUGAGAGAACUCGGGUGAAGGAACUAGGCAAAAUGGUGCCGUAACUUCGGGAGAAGGCACGCUGGCGUUAGGUGAAAGGACUAGCUCCUGGAGCUGAAGCCAGUCGCAGAUACCAGCUGGCUGCAACUGUUUAAUAAAAACACAGCACUGUGCAAACACGAAAGUGGACGUAUACGGUGUGACGCCUGCCCGGUGCUGGAAGGUUAAUUGAUGGGGUCAGCCGCAAGGCGAAGCUCUUGAUCGAAGCCCCAGUAAACGGCGGCCGUAACUAUAACGGUCCUAAGGUAGCGAAAUUCCUUGUCGGGUAAGUUCCGACCUGCACGAAUGGCGUAAUGAUGGCCAGGCUGUCUCCACCCGAGACUCAGUGAAAUUGAACUCGCUGUGAAGAUGCAGUGUACCCGCGGCAAGACGGAAAGACCCCGUGAACCUUUACUAUAGCUUGACACUGAACAUUGAGCCUUGAUGUGUAGGAUAGGUGGGAGGCCUUGAAGUGUGGACGCCAGUCUGCAUGGAGCCAACCUUGAAAUACCACCCUUUAAUGUUUGAUGUUCUAACUCGGCCCCAUGAUCUGGGGUGAGGACAGUGUCUGGUGGGUAGUUUGACUGGGGCGGUCUCCUCCCAAAGAGUAACGGAGGAGCACGAAGGUUAGCUAAUCACGGUCGGACAUCGUGAGGUUAGUGCAAAGGCAUAAGCUAGCUUGACUGCGAGAGUGACGGCUCGAGCAGGUACGAAAGUAGGUCUUAGUGAUCCGGUGGUUCUGAAUGGAAGGGCCAUCGCUCAACGGAUAAAAGGUACUCCGGGGAUAACAGGCUGAUACCGCCCAAGAGUUCAUAUCGACGGCGGUGUUUGGCACCUCGAUGUCGGCUCAUCACAUCCUGGGGCUGAAGUAGGUCCCAAGGGUAUGGCUGUUCGCCAUUUAAAGUGGUACGCGAGCUGGGUUUAGAACGUCGUGAGACAGUUCGGUCCCUAUCUGCCGUGGGCGUUGGAAGAUUGAGAGGGGCUGCUCCUAGUACGAGAGGACCGGAGUGGACGAAUCACUGGUGUUCGGGUUGUCAUGCCAAUGGCAUUGCCCGGUAGCUAAAUUCGGAAGAGAUAACCGCUGAAAGCAUCUAAGCGGGAAACUUGCCUCGAGAUGAGUCUUCCCUGGGGCUUAAAGCCCCCUGAAGGAACGUUAAAGACUAUGACGUUGAUAGGCUGGGUGUGUAAGUGCAGCGAUGUAUUGAGCUAACCAGUACUAAUGAUCCGUGAGGCUUAACCUUACAACACCGAAGGUGUUU
rnacentral:rRNA from 1 species